AGUGAACGCUGGCGGCGGGCCUAAUACAUGCAAGUCGAAGGAAGUGGCGCACGGGUGAGUAAUAUAUAGCUAAUCUGACCCUUGCUGGAGGACAACAGUUAGAAAUGACUGCUAAUAAUCCAUAGCAAGGGAUGAGACUAUAUCGUAUCAGCUAGUCGGUGGGGUAAAGGCCUACCGAGGCUAUGACGCGUAACUGGUCUGAGAGGAUAAUGAGUCACCUUGGAACGGAGACACGGUCCAAACUCCUACGGGAGGCAGCAGUAGGGAAUAUUGCGCAAUGGGGGAGUCCCUGACGCAGCAUCGCCGCGUGGAGGAUGACACUUUUCGGAGCGUAAACUCCUUUUGUUAGCGAAGCGGUACCUACCGAAUAAGCACCGGCUAACUCCGUGCCAGCCGCCGCGGUAAUUC
rnacentral:rRNA from 1 species